CUGGGGAGUACGACCGCAAGGUUGAAACUCAAAGGAAUUGACGGGGGCCCGCACAAGCAGUGGAGCAUGUGGUUUAAUUCGAAGCAACGCGAAGAACCUUACCAGGUCUUGACAUCCUCUGACAAUCCUGGAGACAGGACGUUCCCCUUCGGGGGACAGAGUGACAGGUGGUGCAUGGUUGUCGUCAGCUCGUGUCGUGAGAUGUUGGGUUAAGUCCCGCAACGAGCGCAACCCUUGAUCUUAGUUGCCAGCAUUYAGUUGGGCACUCUAAGGUGACUGCCGGUGACAAACCGGAGGAAGGUGGGGAUGACGUCAAAUCAUCAUGCCCCUUAUGACCUGGGCUACACACGUGCUACAAUGGACGGUACAAAGGGCAGCGACACCGCGAGGUGAAGCAAAUCCCAUAAAGCCGUUCUCAGUUCGGAUUGCAGGCUGCAACUCGCCUGCAUGAAGCCGGAAUUGCUAGUAAUCGCGGAUCAGCAUGCCGCGGUGAAUACGUUCCCGGGCCUUGUACACACCGCCCGUCACACCACGAGAGUUUGUAACACCCGAAGUCGGUGGGGUAACCUUUAUGGAGCCAGCCGCCGAAGGU
rnacentral:rRNA from 1 species